GCCAUGAUAUCGGCUUUUGAAUGUGUUCAUGAUGGAUGGGGUGUGGCUGUGCUUGUUGGAGUUCCGAACAAGGAUGCAGUCUUCAUGACUAAGCCGAUUAAUGUGCUGAAUGAAUGGACGCUUAAAGGAACAUUUCUUGGGAACUACAAACCUAGGACAGACCUUCCCUCUGUUGUGGACAUGUACAUGAACAAGG